GCUGACACAUUCCAGCCAAUCAGCAGCAGACCCUCCCUCCCACACCCUCCCACCUCCUGGACAGCUCACUAAGAAUUCAGCUUCAAAAUGGAUGCUGUCCAGGAGUUGGGAGGGUCUGGGAGGGAGGGUCUGCUGCUGAUUGGCUGGAAUGUGUCAG